GUGAAGUCGUAACAAGGUAGCCGUAGGGGAACCUGCGGCUGGAUCACCUCCUUAAUCGA
rnacentral:rRNA from 4 species